CUACAAUAAAGAAAACGCCAUCACCUACGUUACGGAAGAUGGACAAGUUUUCACAGACGUCCUUGCAUUCUCUGACGACAAUUGCUAUGUUCUCUACGCUCUUGGCGCAGACGGAACUGAGGGAGGGUACGAACUAUCGGCAAAAGAUUCUGACAAUGUUCCAACCAGUUGUCUGGAGAAGUUCAAUGAGUACGCUGCUGGUCUACCGGUACGGGACGUAUUCACAAGUGAUUGCUUUCCAGAAAUGGAAGAAUAACUUGGGAGUAUCGUGCCUUCAACGUCAAACUGUGGUAUUGCCAUCUCAUGUCUCCAUGUUUCAUGCAGUGCGCUCGACGAUAUC